CAUUAAGAAGCUAUGGUAGCAGUAACCUUUUAAGUUAAAGACGAGGGCUUGUACCCCUCCUUAAUGA
rnacentral:tRNA from 1 species